AGUUUGAUCAUGGCUCAGAUUGAACGCUGGCGGCAGGCCUAACACAUGCAAGUCGAGCGGAUGAAGGGAGCUUGCUCUCUCGAUUCAGCGGCGGACGGGUGAGUAAUGCCUAGGAAUCUGCCUAGUAGUGGGGGACAACGUUUCGAAAGGAACGCUAAUACCGCAUACGUCCUACGGGAGAAAGUGGGGGAUCUUCGGACCUCACGCUAUUAGAUGAGCCUAGGUCGGAUUAGCUAGUUGGUAGGGUAACGGCCUACCAAGGCGACGAUCCGUAACUGGUCUGAGAGGAUGAUCAGUCACACUGGAACUGAGACACGGUCCAGACUCCUACGGGAGGCAGCAGUGGGGAAUAUUGGACAAUGGGCGAAAGCCUGAUCCAGCCAUGCCGCGUGUGUGAAGAAGGCCUUCGGGUCGUAAAGCACUUUAAGUUGGGAGGAAGGGCUCAUAGCGAAUACCUGUGAGUUUUGACGUUACCAACAGAAUAAGCACCGGCUAACUUCGUGCCAGCAGCCGCGGUAAUACGAAGGGUGCAAGCGUUAAUCGGAAUUACUGGGCGUAAAGCGCGCGUAGGUGGCUUGAUAAGUUGGAUGUGAAAUCCCCGGGCUCAACCUGGGAACUGCAUCCAAAACUGUCUGGCUAGAGUGUGGUAGAGGGUAGUGGAAUUUCCAGUGUAGCGGUGAAAUGCGUAGAUAUUGGAAGGAACACCAGUGGCGAAGGCGACUACCUGGACUAACACUGACACUGAGGUGCGAAAGCGUGGGGAGCAAACAGGAUUAGAUACCCUGGUAGUCCACGCCGUAAACGAUGUCAACUAGCCGUUGGGAUCCUUGAGAUCUUAGUGGCGCAGCUAACGCAUUAAGUGACCGCCUGGG
rnacentral:rRNA from 1 species